AAGAAAACACAUACAGUCUUUGCAUGAUCAGAAGAAUGAAGAGCAAUGAGUUUCAAACAGAAGUGUGUGGAACUCAAUGAUGGCCACCUCAUGCCGGUACUGGGCUAUGGCACUUAUCAAAAUCCAGAGCCUGAGGAACCAAGGGGACUCUGCAUUAGCAGCAAGGGUGGAAAACUGGAGACGAGUCAUUGCUUCUGCCUCGGUGGGAGGAGGAUCUUCUUCGUCUGAGUCCUGGAUAUCCAGCUGAUGGUAGUGGACUACAACUGGCUUACUUAAAGCAGCUUCAAUCUACACUGCUACCUGCUGAGAGGCCUCUGAGCUAUUCUGGAGACUACACCCUAUCCUGCACUUCAUCACCUGCAGCUGGUUCCGGGCUCCAAGAAUGGAUUUGCGGGAGAUGGGCCUCUCCCCCUUUAUAAGCACAGUUUUCUAUUAAACAUUCAAGCUUUGACCAGGAACCUUGACUUAGCUCCAUUUUUCUCUCGACCGCCUAUUUCCCCUCUCUUUUCAGCCCUACCCGGCUUGCCUCCCAGGUGAAACCCGGUCCAUGUGAGCCGCAGGCCGGCUCUCAACACAUUCUGAAUAUUUUCUUUCAGUAUGAGGGAAUGAUAAAUUUUAUCUAGUAGUUGAGGCAUCAACAUUGAGAUGUUACUUGUCCCCCAUCCCCACCUCACCCCCACCCC
rnacentral:lncRNA from 1 species